UACGAAGGGGGCUAGCGUUGUUCGGAAUUACUGGGCGUAAAGCGCACGUAGGCGGACUACUAAGUCGGGUGUGAAAUUUCGGAGCUUAACUCCGAAACUGCAUUCGAUACUGGCGUGCUUGAGGACUGGAGAGGAGACUGGAAUUCAUGGUGUAGCAGUGAAAUGCGUAGAGAUCAUGAGGAAGACCAGUGGCGAAGGCGGGUCUCUGGACAGUUCCUGACACUGAGACACGAAGGCCAGGGGAGCAAACGGG
rnacentral:rRNA from 1 species